UUCGAAGCAGUGUUUUGAAAUCACCCAUCACUAGAUAUUGUUGAAAAGUCGUUAUUUUGGUUUUUUUUGGUGCACAAAAAAGUAUUCUCGUUGCUUUAUAAUAUUAAGGUAGAACCACUGUAGUCACAUGAACUGCUUUAAAUAUGUUUUUAGUACCUUAUCUGGGCAUUUGAAAGUGUAAAUAAUCUUGCACUGAGCCAUCGGAUUUCAUCAAAAAUAUCUUAAUUUGUGUUCUGAAGAUGAACAAAGGUCUUACGGGUGUAGAACGACAUGAGGCUUGCUUUCUUUGGCAACAACACAAAUGCUCCAUUGAACAGGAGCAGGAGGACUUACUAAAUCAAGCGUAUCAUUGAGGGAGGCGACAUGUAAUGAUUCCAAUUACAAUCUGUGGCUCUAAAGUCUGCAUCAAUGCACUCUGGGGAAAUGAGCCAUCUCUCUUACUUGGCAAACAGCAGGUCAGUGAAUUAUGUUGAGAACACAAGACACACAUCCCCUGCCUGUUUUGACUUUCCCUUCUACUCUUGAAUAAACUUCCAACAAAGAUGAAUGAACUAAAGAAAGAAAAAGGUUGUGACCCUCGCAGGUGCAGUGUCGACAGGGAGGGCUCUAUUUUGGAGAGUAUACACUGACCCUUCAUGCACCUCACCCCUCAAAACAACUGUGAACAUGUGGAAUCUGACAAAGAGAGAGAGAAUGUGAACCAGCAUAAUCUCACUCAGAUAGUUCAGGGGAUCUGGUUUUGACAGGCUAGGGUCUGAUUCUAACCCACUGAAGCUAGUCAUGUGCAAACAAAGCAUGCUGUUAUGCAUUCCCAAACUGAAUAUGUGAUGAUAUAUAGUAAUACUAUGAAAUGAGAUGAGUUGCACAAGGCUCAUUUCAUAGUCUAACUCAUAGUUGGAGACAAGAGAAAGUUCAGAUUAAAUAGAUCCCUUGUGAAAAAGAAGUGCACUUAAUUGUAUUGAAUAUGCACUUGUAGUGUAUUUCAAAUCUUAAAAGUAUAUAUAUUUUUUUUAAAUUAGGUAGCUAACGCUAAAGUGUCCUUGUUACAUGUUACAAGGGAUAGUUAACCUAAAACAAUUCUUGAUGUAUGUUUUAUGCUCCUGAAUAAAACAUCAGAAAAAUACUUCAGAAAAUGAAAGGGACAAAAAGAGAGGGGCUGUUCUGGAACUUUCUGACAAAGAAAAGUGGAGAGCACCUCUUCAUUAUUUACGAAGGGAGCGCUGCAUUCCGAUACCUGAGCCGGUAGAAAGAUAUCUCCAGGGAUAUCACUGUUUCUGUACCUCCCUCGGCCUCCUCUUGUCUUCCCACAAAUAAUUUCUACCAUAGUGAGGUCAAGUUCCACGUUCAUGUGAAAUAUGCAGUUGUAGUGUCCCAACGGAGAAAGAAUAUACUGUACACGCCACAAUCUGACGUCACAGUAUAACAUCAUAUAAACAUCACGUGACAACAACCCUGGGGGUUUGAAAAGCAAACACACAUACAGUCACAUUGCGCACCAACUGAAAUGGGCCUUUUAUGCUUUAUGAAAACAUUCUCCGUUUAAACUCCAGAACUUGACAUCACAGUGCCUGAGGUGCAGUGGAUGAAUUAGCAGAAUAAAACAGUAUGGAUUCACUUCGUCACGCAGUGGUCUUUGACUCUCAUGUGCUUACAAUCUCGUCCCAUCUGAACACUAAAUUGAGACUUCAAUGAAUGGAAAUACUCCAUUUGAGACUUUCAGGAUGCUCAGAGGAACUCUUUAGGAGACUUGUUUUUUACACUGUUACGUACAUAGGCCACGUUUACAUACAGUAUAGUUCAAGUGACCCAAUUCCGAUUUUUUCCUCCGAUGUGGCACAGAUCGGAUACAUGUAAGCAGGAAAAAAGCAUAUGGAUUCCAAUUUUCUUAGAGCAGUUUCAGUCCUCAUUCAUAUGUGGAAAUAAUUGUGAUAUGAAUCAGAUAGAUGCAUUGCAUCUGCCAUGCAAUAGGACAGAUCGGAUAUUCCCGUCAAUGCGAGUCAUACGUCAUUAAAAAAGUGACUGUGGCUAACAAUGUCAACUCAGGUGGACACCAACCAUGAUCACAUGACUCUUUUCAAUGGUGCAAUGGAGGAAGAAGGCUCAACCCAAUGUUUUGCUGACCUUUAAAGAUGGCCCACUGCAAAUCAUGACAUUUUUACUUCCUUUUUGGCCUUAGCUUUUUCGGGUCAGUACAUCUACCUUGGGUUGUUUCACCAAGUGUAUAGUGUAAAUGCAUAUAUCGGAUAUAGGUCACUUUCAAAAGAAGAUGUAAGCUGGUCAUUUAAAAAAUUUUUGAUAUAGUCAACAAAUGGGCAUCAAAACCUGCAGUGUAAAUGCGGCCAUACAGAUCUGUGUCCAAAGUUCUUCAUGGUGUGUAUUAUGUGAUAGAAAGAGGCCAUAAGAAAACAAAUUAGUAAAAAUCAUAUUAACAUCAAUCAUAAAGCACAUUAAUAUACUGUAUUACCAUCUCCAACAUUUUAAAUACCAAAGGUAGAGUAGCAAAACAGCCCAUUUCACUAUAAAGGCGUGCAGGCCUGGCAAAGCAUUAGUCACAUUCCUCACUCCCCCACACAAUGUUGGCUGGCAUAAAAAAAAUGAUAACAAUGUUAUUGAAUAGUGUGAUAAAUAUGCAGACCUAUCCAGCUGUAUGUGAUUAUUGCUGUAGCAUGCUGAAAAAUUAUAUUAUAGUGUUGCAUGAACAAGAAAAUCUGGUCUGUGACGUGACAUUGUUUUGUCUAUUCUCUCAAAUAUUCAAAUUACACCACUGACAAAUGCCAUCUAGAUUUUCUGAAGAAAAUGUCAGAGAUGUUUGCAUGUGCAAAACUCACCACUAGAAUGUUGGUAAUCCCUAGGGCACAUUUGUCAAACCCUUCUUUUGACACAUGUGCUUUCUUAGUACAGCUAUGCCAUUUCUAUGCUGUUUCUAAUGUGUUUAGAAACUAGAGCUGCACGAUAAAUUGAGAAUCACAUUUUUUUAGUUUCAAAUAUAGAGAUCACGAUUCUUCCACAAUUCUGAACAGACAACUAAACAAAAUAACACGUAAUUUACUAGAGGUUCUGACAAAAUGUUAAUUGCUGUAGUCUAUUUAAAAAUGAUUAAUUUAAAUGAAUUAUUAUAAAAAUCGUACUGAAUGAAUGAUUCAAUGACUCACUCAUAAAUACUUCACGUGCUUCAUUACUGGAUGAAUCAGCAUUUUUGUACGAAUCUCUUGAACGAAUGAUUCAAUGACGAAUACAUUUUUAACAGUCACUUGUCACCACCUAGUGGCGUAAAGAUUGAUACAAUCUUUAUUUGAAGCACCAAAUUACUCUCAAAAGGGGAUUUACUCUAUUUUGAUCACUUCCAUAGACAUCAGUGUUUAUAUCUGAACUAUAAACUUUUAUCCAGUACUUCUGUGAUAAAAUGAAUAUUUGUAACACAGAAAUAACGAUACUGUGUGUUUCAUACAUGACAGCUACUCUUUCUGGAUCAGCGGCAGCACCAACGCAGAUCUGAAUGUUCGCUGUGAUCGUACUUGUCAACGGUUUAAUAGACACAGGCGAAUCGCUGUCAUUUAGGAAUAAGGUCGCGUGGAUGUUUGAAUCGAGAUUGCGAUCUUUUAACAAUUAAUCAUGCAGCUCUAUCAGAGACUAUUUGAGUGUUGAUAGAUGGUUGUCAGGGUGCUGAUAUGUGGUGAAUAAGGUGUUCAGGAUGGGAAUCACAGUUGCUAAAGUGCCAUGAAUGAUUGCUAGGUUUUGCUAAGGUAUUUUGGGUUGUUUCUAGUGCUAUGUGGUUGCUAAAAUAUUCAGAGUAUUGAUAGGUGGUGGGUAGGGUGCUCCGAUUGGUUGCUAGGCAGUUGCUAAACUUUUCUUUGUUGUUGCACUGCUAUGUGGUUGAUAUGUUUGAGAUGGUUCCAAGGGCCUUGGUUUCUAUUCCGGUUUCUAUACUUGGUUUCUAUUCCGUUCCUAUGCAGUUGUCUGUUAGGGUGUUGUUAGAUGGUUGCUGGGCAUUGCCAUGCAGUUGCUAAGGUGUUCUUGGUUGUUGUCAGGUCACUGCUAUGUGGUUGCUAAUGUGUUUUAAGUGGUUGCUAGGACCUUGUUGGUUACUACGCCAUUUCCAUGUGGUUGCUAAGGUGUUCUGAGUGAAAAUUAGGUUGUUGAUAGAUGGUGGCAAUGGUUUUGCUAAGGUAAUCAGGAUGGUUGUUAGGUUGCUAAGGACUUGAUGUUCCAUGUUGUCCUUCAGAAUGGGUGCAGGCCAGGGACAAAGUGUCCCUCAGCCUUUUUUAUUCCAUUUCAUUUCAUAUUUUAGUCUCUUCACCUGGUAACCUUUCACAGCUCAUCAUAUAUUUCCCACAUCUGUCCAGCUGUAUUACAGUAUGACUAUGGAUUACUGUUUCACUCUCAGACCCAUCAUUUAAUUCGGUUGACCCAUCAUAUAAUUCGGUUACCACUGACAGAAGCACAGCUCUAAAUGAAAGCUUAUGUAAAUUCUUAGGCCUGAUUAUCCCUUGCAGUAAGUUUUUAUUUGAACAGAUUGUCCGGCCUGCUGCUUUUGCUGGAAGCAAAGCACAUGCUCCCAACUGUAUUUCAUUACGUUAUGGCAUGAUGUCGUCAUAUGUGAGGGAUUACAGCCUUCCAGACUAGAGUAUGAUUAUGAAAUGUCAUUCAGCAAUCAUCAAAAAUCUGUCUUUGCACUUUACAUAAAGGUGUGAGUGCCCUGAUUAUGAGCCGUCAGUGGACAAUUAAAUUUAAAUGAGAUAUCUUUGGGAUACAUUUGGGCAGUGGCGCUAUAGAAAUUGAGUCUCUCUGACCCUCAAGAGACCCUCGAUUUCCCUAUUGCUACACUGUUGUCUAUGGCUGUUUAUUGUAUAAUCCAGUUUCAAAUCUGUUUUAAUUUGUCGCCUAAGUCUUUUGAUUACAGUUACCUUGUAGUUUUCUGCAAAAACUCCCAAUACCAUUGACGUCAGAUGUUGCUGUUACAUAAAUGUGCGGCUUGGGACUACAAGACAUUUUAUCCACUGCUUUUGCAGUGCAUUUGCCUCAAAAUCAGCUAUGUUGCCUUGGGGUCUCUCCAGCACAGCUCAGUGACGUUGUUGUUCUCUAGUUUUUCUUUUUCAUUCCCGCUCUCUUCAUGUCCUUCUGUCUCUUCCCAUAUUCGCUGUAACUCUGGGGCUUCAGGUUAAGAUGAGUUAAAUUCAGUGGUUGCGUAAGCUGGAUGUGAGAGACAUCUCUGUUAGUUUGCCCUGGGCUCUUUUUUGACUGUAUAAUGGAGACAUUAGAACAUCAGGUCCAGCUGAGCUGUUGUGAAAUCUGAACAAUCAAUAUCAAUAAAACAUCCUGAUAUAUUGUACAGUUUAAAAGGCCUUUGAAUAUAAAAAUUCAAAUAGUGUACGAUUUUGUGUUUAGAUAUAUUUAAAAAGUGUUAAUACAUUAAAAAUAAGUAUGACUGUAUAAAAUUAAAUAGUUGUUACUGGCAUUGUGGAGUUUUGCUCUGAGAUGAUAGUUUUGUGCUAAAAAUGUUUUUGUUAUUUCUUUCUUUUUGUUAUUAGAUUUACUUUUAUUAUGGGCUCCUGGCCAAGGAGGGUGAAGAUUUAAUCCAGUCAAACAUAUAAAAAUUCAUUAUAUCAGAGGAUUUAAUAUAUUUUUGUAAUAUUAUCUGUGAUAAUCUGGGAUGAUUAUUAUAAUAUUAAAGAUUAGCAGAUAGGGGUGGGGAACUUCACGCUUUGACACACAUUGAUUUUUCCACACAUAUUUCCUAACUGGUGCAUGCAUUGUCUUUUUGUUUGUAGCUAUGCAAAUGCUUGAUUUUGCUAGUCAAAUUCUGUUUCCAUUUAAGAGUGAAUUGAAUUGGUCCUGUAUUUCUUUUUACAAGCAAGAAGAAUUUAGAAGAGAAUUUGACCUAUUUUGUAGAUCAACUGAAUAAAUCACUUUGAGUUUUCAUGUGAGAUGAUAGAAGUACUUGUGAUAUAAGAAGAUUCGCGUAAUACAAAAAGUGUUAGGAACUCACUUCAUCGUUUGGUAGAUAUUAUCUAAUAACUAACAUGACACUAUUUUCUGCUUGAACAAUAUUGCAUUAUAUGCCUUUGAAAAGAGAGAAAGGGUUGGAUGAAUAGGACUGUCCAUUUUAAAACAGAUUUUUAGCAUUGGAAGUUUUCUGAUUGAUUGCAGUAUGUCAAUAAUCCCAGAAUAUAAAUAACUCUUCGACCAGACUGACUUUAACCUCAUGCCCAAAGCUGUCUUUAUUUAUCAGAAUGGUACGCUUACUGACAGUUCAGUUGUCCUGAACAGGGUUGCUGACGUGAAUCUUUGGUGAUUUUCGUCAUGGCAAAUUGGAAGAUGUUUAUUGAUUGCUGUUAGUCACUCAGUUAGUCUUCCCACUCAACAUGAUGUUCACAUACAGCAGCAAUCAAUGGGGAAUUGUGUGCAAAUGUGCCGCCCAACCACACACACACAAAUGCGCACACUCUCAUUCACCAUGAAUAGAGCUUUUAUUUAUAGGCCUCCAGAUUGGGGUGAUGUCGUGGCCACGGAGAUGGCAUCACAGCGCUCCAGCAGCCCCGCCACACGGGACCAUUCUCAUGGGGGUGAUGUGGCUAUGAACCAUCUGAUCUAAUUGCCAUGGAGAAAGCAGCACAUGACCUUGAAUCAUGGAAAAUCACAGCUGAAUUACACAGAAUCCCACUGAGAAAAAAGAGAGAGGAUCAAGAUAACAGAGCUUAAAAAGAAAUAACAGAGGUAACCCAGAUGGUAAAAGGCACAGCUGGGUUUAUGAGGGUGCCCAGCUGGGGCUGAAUAUUAUUUGCCAAUGCAGACAAUGUUCCUGGAGCACCACUCGCCUUUAUUUUAUUACAGUAAAAAGUGAUGAUUCAAUAACAACAACUACAUUAGCUGGAUAUAUGUUUUCUUUUUAUUUCCUUUAGCCCUUGCAAACAUUGUGUGGACAGCAUUGUGUCCAAAGAAAACACUAGAAAAUAGUGAAGAAUUUCCAUUUUAUUUCUAUUUUUUUUAUACACUUCCAUUUAAAAGGUCAGUCAGUUUUUGUUUGUUUGUUUGUUUGUUUGUUUUUUGAAAGAAAUACUUUAACUUGGCAAGGAUGCAUUACAUUAAUAAAAAAGACUGUUUUCGAAUAUUACUGUUUUACUGUAUUUUUGAUUAAAUAAAAUGCAGUGUUGGUGAGCAAAAGAGACUUCUUUAAAAAUUAAUAUUCUAGUCUCUAGAUAUGGCUCAGUACAGCCUGUACAAUUUGAGGUAUAAUUCAUGUAUUAAGGGUUUGUGUAAAUCCCUAUGUAUAAUUAAAUGUUUAAGUAAUGUUUGGCUUAAUAAGCAAUCACCAGUAAUGUUUUUGUAUAGUAAUAGCAUUGGUAUUAGAAAACGAGAUCUCACAAUUUUCACACCAACGCCCCAACUCCACACGUGGCCACCAACCCUGAAAAGAGGCCACAGUAAAUCUCUUCAAUCAAGAGCUUAAAUGAGUGAUUUCUCCUCUGGGCUCAAUCUUCAAGCUUACAUGUUAUAUCACCAACAGCUCUUAUUCAGCAAAUUGAAGGAUUUUUCUUUUUACUGUGCCAUUUAUCCUAGAAAAAUUUCCACUAAAAGGAAAUAGUCAGAUUAGUGUAAUACAUUUUUCUUCCUUGUAAUUCAUAUUCUUGUCCUCACAUGAUAAUUAGUAUGAUGCAUAAGUGGUUUUGGUAUUAAAUUUGCAGCUAAGAUGAUCUCAUCAUUUAAGCUGUCAAUGUGCAGAUUUGUUUUUGAAUAGAAUGAUGACAGCAGUCUUUUCAUCAUUUUAUAAGAUUAUUAAAGAAAAGGUGAAUAAAAGCGUACAUUAUUAAAGGAUUAGUUUAAAGCUUGGUAUCGUUUAAAGCCCUUUGAAGCUGCACUGAAACUGUAAUUUUGACCUUUUGGGGCCAAUUGAAGUCCACUAUAAGGAGAAUAAUCCUGGAAUGUUUUCAUCAAAAACCUUAAUUUCUUUUCGACUGAAGAAAGAAGGACAUAAACAUCUUGGAUGACAUGGGGGUGAGUAAAUUAUCAGGAAAUUUUAAUUUGAAAGUGAACUAAUCCUUUAAGUAGAAUGGGAAUGGGUAUGGGACACAGAGAACCAUUUCAGACAAUGAGGUAUCACAACUUCUUUACAUACAGACCACAGCUGUUACAACAGGAGCAAUUUCAUUUACAUUAGGAGUGGUAAACUGUAACAGGAUAAAAGGUUUGAGAUUUGGAUGUUCUGGGUUCAUUCUGAUGCCUGGUGAAAUCAAGUUGCUUCAUGUACUUUGUCACUGCUAUGCUGCAAUAAACUUCUUCAUCAAGAUCUUCAAUGUCCUCAUAAUUUUUUCUUAGCCCGGGUAUAAUUGGAAACGUGCUGCGAGAAUGAACCUCAUUGGUUACGCAGCACGUUUGAGCUUCCGAAGGAGGUUUUUUCUCACGCGUUACUCAGGUUCAGUUGAGCUUCUGCUUAUGUUCGCUGAUCAAUGUUUAUAUGUGAGUAAAAGCCUAAAUUAAAUCUGUAAAAAAAAUAAGGUAAAAAAUAUAUACAAGAUAAAGAAGCAAAAUUUUAACUCAAAAAUAGAUUUCAAAAGAUAAAGGGAAAGAUGUGUGUGUACAUAUACAGCUCAGUGAAUUCAAGCGUGGUACCGUGAUAGUUUGCCACCUGUGCAAUAAGUCCAUUCGUGAAAUUUCCUCACUGCUAUAUAUUCCACGGUCAACUGUUAGUGGUAUUAUAACAAAGUGGAAGCAAUUGGGAACAACAGCAACUCAGCCACAAAGUGGUAGGCCACUUAAAAUCAUAGAGCGGGGUCAACGCAUGCUGAGGCGCACAGUGCACAGAAGUCACCAGCUUUCUGCAGAGUCAAUAGCUACAGACCUCCAAACUUUGUGUGGCCUUCAGAUUAGCUCAAGAACAGCGCAUAGAGAGCUUCAUGGAAUAGGUUUCCAUGGCCGAGCAGCUGCAUCCAAGCCUAACAUCACCAAGUGCAAUGCAAAGCGUCGGAUGCAGUGGUGUUAAGCAUGCCACCACUGGACUCUAGAGCAGUGGAGACGUGUUCUCUGGAGUGACGAAUCACGCUUCUCUGUCUGGCAAUCUAAUGGACGAGUCUGGGUUUGGCAGUUUGACGGUACUUGCCUGACUGCAUUGUGCCAAGUGUGGUGUGGGGUUGUUUUUCAAGGAUUGGGCUUGGCCCAAAGGAACUCUUAAUGCUUCAAUAUACCAAGACAUUUUGGACAAUUUCAUGCUCCCAACUUUGUGGGAACAGUUUAGGGAUGGCCCCUUCCUGCUCCAACAUGACUGCGCACCAGUACACAAAGCAAGGUCCAUAAAGACAUGGAUGAGCGAGGAACUUGACUGGCCUGCACAGAGUCCUGACCUCAACCCGACAGAACGCCUUCGGGAUGAAUUAGAGCGGAGACUGCGAGCCAGGCCUUCUCGCCAACAUCACUGCCUUACCUCACAAAUGCGAAAAAAAAUUCCCAUAAACACACUCCUAAACCUUGUGGAAAGUCUUCCCAGAAGAGUUGAAGCUGUUAUAGCUGCAAAGGGUGGGCCAACUCCAUAUUAAACCCAUGGAUUAAGAAUGGGAUGUCAUUAAAGUUCAUGUGCACGUAAAGGCAGGCGUUCCAAAACUUUUGGCAAUAUAGUGUAUAUAUAUAUAGUGUAUAUAACUAUAUAUAUAUAUAUAGUUUUUAAAUAACUUUUUCUGAAGUUAAGGUAUAGGCAUUUCAAUUUCAUCUUUAUUGCCAAAUGCAGUGCAGUGACUUGUUUUUUUUUUUUUGAAGGAAGUUACAGCAGAUUCAGUUGUUAAUUUCAUCAAUGCAAAUGCAACAAUUUGUUGUACGAUCAAGCACUGUUCACAUUAUUAAUAAAAAAAAUUGCUUGCAAAGAUUUUCCAUGUGUAUUUCAUGCUUUUAUGGAAGUUAUCACACUGUACUUGUGUUUGUUUGUUUGUGUGUGUGUGUGUCUGUGUGUGACAGAGAGUUUGUAUCUGUUUUAUGCAUGUUAUACUGUCUGUCUCAACUUAUUAGAGCUUAGCUGUGUGCGUGGAGAGGCAGACACUACAGCUAGAACAGUCUGUCCCAACUCUGUCCAGUUCACUGGGUUUCAUGCCAGAUUAUCCCUACACACGUUCAGCAUUAAUACAGUUUCACAUUACAGUGAUGCACAAAAUUUAUAGCCCAUGCUGUCAAGUACCUGGCAUCACUCUCAUGCAAUGAGUUAUUUAAACUGCAACUUCAUCAUUACAAAUAUGUAAUUACUAAUACAUUUAAUAAAUAUAAAAGAAAUUAUGAACUUACAUAAAAAGUGGAUCAAAAAGCACAUUCAGCUAAUUGUUUUAUAGUUUAAAUUUAUAUUAAGUGCAUUUAAUUUAAUUGCAGUUAACAUGCAAUUAAGUCUGAAAACAUUAUAUUGAGUUCGCACUUGGGAAUAUUCUUUUAAAGUAUAUUAUUUCCGAAAUAAAUACUCAUUUUAAAAGUAUGUUAAAGUGUACUUCUUUUUCAUAAGUGCAUUUGUUCUUGCACAUAUUAAAACUUGACGUAGAGGACAAUUUACUAAAGAAACUAUAUAUUUUAAGUGUUUAAAAACCUUUCCUUUAUAAUGUGGUUAAUGUCGGAACUGCUGACAAUUAUAGUUUCCAAAUUCCCUUUAAACAAAGAUUUGGAAAAGUGUCUAGAGAUCCUCCUCAGGGUUUCACCAGUGUGGCAGUCUGUGGAACCCCAAAUGAUGAUGUAUUUUCUCAUUUUUACAGUUGUAUUUGCAUUAUUCACUUUCAUUGAAUAGAAAAGAGCUGCGUCAACAUUCUGUUAAACUUUUCCUUUUGUUUUUCUCAGAAGAAAUUAAUAAGUGCAAGUUAAUAGUAUUUUAUUUUUGUAUUUUUUUUUUGUAAUGUAUAAUUUUAAUAUAAUUUUUUAGUGAAGUGCUUAUAUAAGAAAUAUGAUCAGAGAAGAAAUAUGAUCAGGGGACUCCACAGUUCCUGGGUGAGCCCUAUUUGAGACUAAACCUGCAACUAACCCAAGUGUUUACAUAUCAGAAUGAGGUGGAAUUGAAGUAUACAAAUUCCCUAGAGUAACUACAGAAAGACCGGCAUUAUAACCCUCCUUACCCACCCACCCCCCUUUUUAGAAGCACAAACAAGUUUUCAGACGAGCAGUGAACUCUGUCUCCAGCCAGUGGGAACAUUACAGGCAUGUGUGAAACGUCUCCUCUGUGUAAGCAAGCAGGGAGUAUUUGCAGACUUCUGAUCCCUUUGCUUGGACAUGAUCUUUUUCCCAUCCGGCUCGGCCAGCAUGUGCAGGUGUGUUUCAGCUCCCCUUGAGACUGUGAGAUUAAUGUGUUGUGCCAAAGUGUUGUUGGCAUUAUGUGCUAUCUGUUGUUGCUGUUCUAUGAUUGCUAAACAUUACAUCACGCUAAGUUUUGUAAGAUCUGUUGAAACUCUGUCCUGAAUGAAAAGAAAUGUUUGUAUAAGUUGGUGAAUAAAAUGCAUACAAAAAAUGCUAUUAUCACAAAUUUGACAAAAAACUUGAAUCACGGUCACCAAUAACAAAAAGUGAAAUAAAAAUGCAUUUGGUUUUGAAGUUUAGAAGAUAAACAAAAGAGGAAUAAACAGGAGGCAGGGGGAAUGGUAUGGCUCAGUUUUCGAGUAGGCUGGUUGUGGUGUUCUAAAGAGACCAACACCACUGUUCCACCUCCACAACACAGACCCCAUCCUCCUCUCUAUAUCGCCCUCCACUCAUCCUCAUCAUCUGUUCAUCACACCUCCCCUUGAAUCAUCUGUCACAUCACUCCUCCACACCCUAUGGCCUCAACUCUCUCUCAGAGCUGCUAGAACAUUCACUGGUGUGUGAGGGACAAUUCGCAUCUCAUUAACAUUGAUCAACACUGUACAAAAUGUUUGACACGGAACUUAAAUGUGCUUUAUUUCAUACCAUGUAUGUUAACUGACUUUAUUUUAAACUUUUUAAGGGUCAAUAUAGCAUUCAGAAGCCCCACUCUUUCAGUAUGUUGUUCCAACCUCAUAUGAAGAACACAAAACGAUAUUUGUAGAAUGUUCUGGCUGUGUUUGUCCGUACAAAAAGUGAAUGGGGACUGAGGUUGUUAAACUCCAAGACUGACAUUUAAAGGUAGGGUAGGCAAUUUCGGAGAGGCUAGCAAUAGCAAGCUAGCUUUGAAAGCAUGAGGUCCCACCCUCUCUUCAGAGCGUUCUCCAAAGCCAUGACUCCUUCAAAACACAUGAACUCACACAGACACAGCAGAGUCUGCAAAGCGUGACGAGAUGAGAGACGGCGUUAAAUUAUCUCAUGUCUCAAAGUACAUAACAUUGCAAUAAUAUUGAAUGUAAACAACUUGCAGAGCUCUUACUUGAACCACCUGACUGCUGCAGAUUAAUUUCGGCAUUGAUAGUGUAGCCAGAGAAAAGCAUAAAACUGAGUCUAAGGAAGUGAACAGCUUCGGGUAGAACGUCACGGGUAGCCAUCUCGUAAAUACAGUUAUACAACAUGGUGUGAAAGCAGCAUAAGCUUGUUGUUUUGGUUCAGGAGGAACUGUAAAAGGCAGCUGCUGUUUGUUUGUGGCACUCUGUGACUGUCUGUUUACAACUCUGCAUAGCCUAAUGGAACGUGCUGAUGACGUGUGAUGUCUGAGGACAGGGUGCCAGAGGUAUGGAAAUACAUGUUGACAGGCAGGUAGGACACCAUAUCAUUGCAUUUGGACCAAAUGCAAUGAUUGGCAGACAUAUUUUGGUCCUGAGACUUCCACAGAAGAUACAUGUACAUGUUUUAAUAUUCAGACCAUUUCUAUUAUUGAUUACUAUCAGGAUGUGAAGAGAGUUUAAACCAGUAUAACAAAAAGUAUAAACAAAAAACCUUUAAAGGGAUAGUUCACCCAAAAAAUGAAAAUUUGAUGUUUAUCUGCUUACCCCCAGGGCAUCCAAGAUGUAGGUGACUUUGUUUCUUCAGUAGAACACAAAUGAUGAUUUUUAACUCCAACCUUUGUGGUCUCUCAGUUGUAUAAUGCUUGUCAAUGGUAACUCCAUCUAUAAGAGUCAAAAAAACACGCACAGACAAAUCCAAAUUAAACCCUGCGGCUCGUGAUGACACAUUGAUGUCCUAAGACAUGAAACGAUCGGUUUGUGCGAGAAACCGAACAGUAUUUAUAACACCACUAUGUCCAACUGCCUUGCGCAUCCAGUUGGUGAGGUCUAAAAACGCAUUUUGAUGACGGAAGUGAUGUCUCGCGCUUAUACUUUAAUGAGUGCGAGACAUCACU